UACGUAGGUGGCAAGCGUUAUCCGGAAUUACUGGGCGUAAAGCGCACGCAGGCGGUCUGUUAAGUUUGACGUGAAAGCUCCCGGCUUAACUGGGAGAGGUCGUUGAAGACUGGCAGACUUGAGGCGAUGAGAGGGGUGUAGAAUUCCCGGUGUAGUGGUGGAAUGCGUAGAUAUCGGGGGGAAUACCAGUGGCGAAAGCGGCACCCUAGCGGUAGCCUGACGCUCAUGUGCGAAAGCGUGGGGAGCGAACAGG
rnacentral:rRNA from 1 species